rnacentral:rRNA from 1 species
GACGAACGCUGGCGGCGGGCUUAACACAUGCAAGUCGAACGGAAUCCAUGGAGCUUGCUCCGGAAGAUUUGGUGGCGAACGGGUGAGGAACACGUGAGAAACCUGCCCCGAACUUUGGGAUAACAGUUGGAAACGACUGCUAAUACCAAAUACAUCCGCGAUGUGGCAUCACAUUGCGAAGAAAGAAUUUCGGUUCGGGAGGGUCUCGCGGCCUAUCAGCUAGUUGGUGGGGUAAUGGCCUACCAAGGCAUCGACGGGUAGCGGGUCUGAGAGGAUGAUCAGCCACACUGGGACUGAGACACGGCCCAGACUCCUACGGGAGGCAGCAGUGGGGAAUCUUGUGCAAUGGGGGCAACCCUGACACAGCCACGCCGCGUGCGGGAAGAAGGCCUUCGGGUCGUAAACCGCUUUCAGCAGGAACGAAAAUGACGGUACCUGCAGAAGAAGGAGCGGCCAACUACGUGCCAGCCGCCGCCGUAA